rnacentral:rRNA from 1 species
UCGACGAAGCGAGAACGAAGCGCAAGCAGAGGUUCUUGACUGAGUGGCGGACGGGUGAGUAACGCGUGGAUAACCUGCCUUUCACAGGGGGAUAACAGCUGGAAACGGCUGCUAAUACCGCAUGAGCCUCUUUCAUCGCAUGACGGGAGAGGGAAAGAGAAAUCGGUGAGAGAUGGAUCCGCGUCCGAUUAGCUAGUUGGAGGGGUAACAGCCCACCAAGGCGACGAUCGGUAGCCGACCUGAGAGGGUGGACGGCCACAUUGGGACUGAGACACGGCCCAAACUCCUACGGGAGGCAGCAGUGGGGAAUAUUGCACAAUGGGGGAAACCCUGAUGCAGCAACGCCGCGUGAGUGAGGAAGUAUUUCGGUAUGUAAAGCUCUAUCAGCAGGGAAUAGAAAAGAAGGUACCUGAAAAAGAAGCCCCGGCUAACUACGUGCCAGCAGCCGCGGUAAUACGUAGGGGGCAAGCGUUAUCCGGAUUUACUGGGUGUAAAGGGAGCGUAGACGGAAAGGCAAGUCAGAAGUGAAAACCCAAGGCUCAACCAUGGGACUGCUUUUGAAACUGUCAAACUAGAGUACGGGAGAGGUAAGAGGAAUUCCUAGUGUAGCGGUGAAAUGCGUAGAUAUUAGGAGGAACACCAGUGGCGAAGGCGUCUUACUGGACCGAAACUGACGUUGAGGCUCGAAAGCGUGGGGAGCAAACAGGAUUAGAUACCCUGGUAGUCCACGCGGUAAACGAUGAAUACUAGGUGUUGGGGUGAGAAGACCUCGGUGCCGCAGCAAACGCAAUAAGUAUUCCACCUGGGGAGUACGUUCGCAAGAA